UCUGCAAUUUGUGCUCAAGUACAGUCUUCUGGUGUGUACUAGUCUAAUGUGAUGAUGCUUUGUUGACGCUGGAGUCUUUGUCCUUGUCCGUGUUACAGUGUCCUACCCUGAGGUGGUGGAUGUGAUUGUUGAGACAUUGCUGAGCGUCUUUACCAAGGGAGUCUACAGCAGCACUCUGAGGUGACCCAAACAACUCCGGGCUGUUGGCAACCAAAGACUACUUUCUCACCCCGUGUGCCUGGGGCACCACCCGUCAGGCUCCCACAUCCAAAAUACGGUCGCACUCAAAUGGACCCUCCGCCGAGUUUUGAACCCCUGCAGGCACAAAGGGUAAUGAUCAGACCCCCUAAGAAAUGAGCACAACAUUGGCCAGCUGCAAACACUGGCAUUUGAUGAAUGUUGUCAUUCUGGUCAGUUUAACCACAUUCACAGUGAGCUGUGUCGAAAGCACACGAUCAUGGUUGAAUAUGGGUACAGAGAAAGGUCAUUUAUGGUACAUAUGUUCACCACAAGUGUUGCUUUCUGGUUUCAGAGUAAGAAACCUGCUUAUUGCUGUGUGGAUGUUUGUGGUGUGUCUGUGGUCAAGGUACAACAGGCCAGGUUGACAAAGCUUCUCCUGAAAAAUGGUGGGACCCAGCCAGGCCCAAACAUCCUGACGGAGAGAGGCUUUUCCCUUAUCAGUCAGGAAACACCGCUCCUCCGCCACAUCCUCUUUACAAGAAGCACGACUCAACCGUUCCCAAAAAAUGCAGGAAGAACAGCCAGACUCCAGGAUUUGUCAAAAGCCCCCUGAAUUCCUUUUAUCGAAAAAGAAAAAUUCAAGAAAACACAGAGGGUGAGAGGGGAGGAGUGGAGAGGACAGGAGGGGGGGAGAAAAAUGAGGAGGCCCCGGGAUUUAUUUUUUUUAUUUAUUUUGCACAGAUUACGAAAGGUCUGCAUCAGCAAGAUAGAACACGGGGAGAGGGGGUGGGGGUGGAAGGGGGGUCCAGAGUGCCUAAGAAUGGCACCCAGAAUAAGACUCCAGGAAAACAAAGGACGGUUGAGAUGGAGGCGGGUGGCGACGGCUGUGCCUGUUUUACACUAAUCCUCUGAACCGGGAUGAAAUGAAAGCGAGAGGAGACGGAUGGAGAAGGAUGAUGUGAUGGAGGGUGGAAAAAGCGUGCAGGGGAGUGGGUGUCAGAAUGGGCCACUUGCGGUACAACAACUAGACAGAGCCCAAAAUAGAAGAAUACAUGGUGUGACACAGAAUUCAAAGAUGGACAAGUAGCACAUGCUAUUUUUUCCCCCAUUUGUGUAUGAAAACUUGUUGUGGAAAAAAACUACCAAGCAGGAGUCCUACUUUCUUUUAUUGUUUUUAAUCAGGAAUUUGAUUGUAUUAAUUAGGUACUAUGUAUAUCAGUAGAGAUGUGUUUCAUCUGCUACUGCACAAUGCCUUUUAAGUGUAUCAGUUUUUACCAAUAUCUCCUGUUUAGGUGUAAUAAUGAAAUAAUCAAAAGUAAUUGUUUUGUUGUGAUAUGUUAUCUGUGGGUGCAUUAUCCAAGUAGCAACUGCAUUUAUAUAAAAAUUGAACUUUAUUUUAAAUUAUUGUCUUUCACAAACCUAAAAUCAGCAUACAGUUAUAGUUACCAUUAUUAUUUAUCAUCGCAGAGGUUAUGAUUAUAUAUUAUUAAGUACUUGAGAAGAAGUAUAAACGCCUUUUUUCUUCAUUAUACACUGUUUUGUUAAAUUGCAUAAGAAAUGUCCAACUAAAACCUCAUUCAAUUACAACUACUGAGGUAAGACUC